rnacentral:rRNA from 1 species
UACGUAGGUGGCAAGCGUUAUCCGGAUUUACUGGGUGUAAAGGGCGUGUAGGCGGGACUGCAAGUCAGAUGUGAAACCCAUGGGCUCAACCCAUGGCCUGCAUUUGAAACUGUAGUUCUUGAGUGAUGGAGAGGCAGGCGGAAUUCCGUGUGUAGCGGUGAAAUGCGUAGAUAUACGGAGGAACACCAGUGGCGAAGGCGGCCUGCUGGACAUUAACUGACGCUGAGGCGCGAAAGCGUGGGGAGCAGACAGG